AGCGAACGCUGGCGGCAGGCUUAACACAUGCAAGUCGAACGGGCACUUCGGUGCUAGUGGCAGACGGGUGAGUAACGCGUGGGAACGUACCUUUCGGUUCGGAAUAAUUCAGGGAAACUUGGACUAAUACCGGAUACGCCCUUCGGGGGAAAGAUUUAUCGCCGAUAGAUUGGCCCGCGUCUGAUUAGCUAGUUGGUGAGGUAAUGGCUCACCAAGGCGACGAUCAGUAGCUGGUCUGCGAGGAUGAUCAGACAAAUUGGGACUGGGACACGGGCCAAACUCCUACGGGAGGCAGCAGUGGUGAAUAUAGGACGAUGGGCGCAAGCCUGAACCAGCCAUGCCGCGUGAGUGAUGAAGGCCUUAGGGUUGUGAAGCUCUUUUGUCCGGGAAGAUAAUGACUGUACCGGAAGAAUAAGCACCGGCUAACUUCGUGCCAGCCGCCGCGGUAAAAC
rnacentral:rRNA from 1 species